GCGAGUGAAGCGGUAACAGCUCAAAUUUGAAAUCUGGCCUCACGGUCCGAGUUGUAAUUUGUAGAGGAUGCUUCGAGCAUGGUCUGGCCUAAGUUCCUUGGAACAGGACGUCAUAGAGGGUGAGAAUCCCGUAUGCGGCCAGGUGCCUACGCUCAUGUGAAGCUCCUUCGACGAGUCGAGUUGUUUGGGAAUGCAGCUCAAAAUGGGUGGUAAAUUUCAUCUAAAGCUAAAUAUUGGCCAGAGACCGAUAGCGCACAAGUAGAGUGAUCGAAAGAUGAAAAGCACUUUGGAAAGAGAGUUAAACAGUACGUGAAAUUGUUGAAAGGGAAGCGCUUGCAACCAGACUUGCGCGCGGCUGAUCAUCCGGUGUUCUCACCGGUGCACUCGGCCGUGCUCAGGCCAGCAUCGGUUUUGGCGGCUGGAUAAAGGCCCUAGGAAUGUGGCUCCUCUCGGGGAGUGUUAUAGCCUAGGGUGCAAUGCAGCCUGCUGGGACCGAGGACCGCGCUUCGGCUAGGAUGCUGGCGUAAUGGUUGUAAGCGGCCCGUCUUGAAACACGGACCAAGGAGUCUAACAUCUAUGCGAGUGUUUGGGUGUCAAACCCAUACGCGUAAUGAAAGUGAACGGAGGUGAGAACCCUUAAGGGUGCAUCAUCGACCGAUCCUGAUGUCUUCGGAAGGAUUUGAGUAAGAGCAUAGCUGUUGGGACCCGAAAGAUGGUGAACUAUGCCUGAAUAGGGUGAAGCCAGAGGAAACUCUGGUGGAGGCUCGCAGCGGUUCUGACGUGCAAAUCGAUCGUCAAAUUUGGGUAUAG
rnacentral:rRNA from 1 species